AGAGAGAGACAUGCGCGCAUAUCAAUAAGCGGAGGAAAAGAAACUAACAAGGAUUCCCUUAGUAGCGGCGAGUGAAGCGGGAAGAGCUCAAAUUUGAAAUCUUCAAGGUUUUACCUCGACGAAUUGUAGUUUAAAGAAGUGUUUUCUGCUGAAGUUUUGGUAAAAGUUCUUUGGAAUAGGACAUCAUAGAGGGUGAGAAUCCCGUAUUUGACCAUUAUUUUCAGCUUUGUGAUACACUUUCAAAGAGUCGGAUUGUUUGGGAAAUGCAGUCCAAAAUGGGUGGUAAAUUUCAUCUAAAGCUAAAUAUUGGCGAGAGACCGAUAGCGAACAAGUACCGUGAGGGAAAGAUGAAAAGAACUUUGAAAAGAGAGUUAAACAGUACGUGAAAUUGUCAAAAGGGAAGCGUUUGACACCAGUGUUGUUUCUCGAAAAUCAAUUAAAAAUGGCUCGAUUUUGUAUUGCUUGAGACCUUAAAAGCUCACUGUACAUUUUUCGUGUCUUUUUUAAUGCACCUUUCGUUUAACAAGUCAACAUCAGUUUCUUUUGUUGUAAAAGGGUCAUUGGAAGGUGGCUUUCUUUUCGGAGAAAGUGUUUAUAGCCUUUGGCCUCUGCAAUCGGAGAGACUGAGGUCUGCAGCGUAGACUCUUCGGGGUUAGAUACAUUUGUGCUAAGUUAUAGCUUUUUAUAGACAACUUGUUGACUAUAAUUAGUCUUGUAGCUUACUCGCUUAUGCUAUUUUACCUACGCUUAGGAUGUUGAAGUCAUCGUAUCGCGC
rnacentral:rRNA from 1 species